GAAAUUGUACCUAUUGUGAUACAGGGGGAUAGUUCACUUUGAGGAUUGUUCAAAGUGGUGUUGCAGAUUGCAGAAGAGGGGAUUCUUGCUGUAAUUCUGGUUUUGUUCUGCAGCUAUACUUUGGUUUUGGGUUAGAGAGGAGAUUUAUAUUUUUGACGUGGAGGUCUUCUAUAAAUUCCUUGUUGUAAAAACCGCAACCAUUAUAGUGCAUUUGCUUCAGGGUGGAAGGACACUAGAUGUAGGCAUUGUUGGCCGAACCAGUAUAAAAACCUAUAUUUGAUUUUCUUUAUCGCUUGUCUUUUACACUCCAGUCGACUCUAUUUCUUAUGCAAUCAACUACGUUUUUUCUGCUGCAUACAAUUUCUGAUUGCUUGCAUUUCAAGAAAGUUUAAAAAGCUUUAUAC
rnacentral:lncRNA from 1 species